rnacentral:lncRNA from 1 species
CUAGUGAUGGUAAUUGUGGUUGUUGAUGUUUUCUUCUUGGGCAAGGGCCUAUGAGUUCCCAGCUCUGGCUUUUCUGUCUUCUGGAAGAGGACAGGGCAGGAACCCAAGAGGCCUAGGAACCCAAGAGGCCUAGCCCUUGCCUUGGUUUCUGUGUCAGACUGUACAGGAAGAAUGGAUUGGUUAUAACCAGACUUAGGGCAAUGGAACCCAAACCAUUGAUUUCCUAAGUCAUUAGCAACUCCUCCAGGAGAAAGGAGCCCCCAGCCCAGGCAUGGUUGGUAACUUUUCUCUUACCUGAGCAAUGAUGGGACUCAUGGAGCCCACACAGUUCCAUCCUAUUCCUAGCUGUCAGGCAUUCCCAUCAAAACCUCCAAUUCCUUCAUGCCCCUGGCCCAUUCUCUUUGUCACUCUCCUGUAACUUCUCAGACUUUCAGGGUUUCCAGGAUCUCUUCCCAUCCUAAAAAUCUUGGAUUCUGCCAUCUUAAAGGAACCCAUACUGGAUCUUUCAGCUUACAAUAAUCUCUCUCAUUCUUUGCUUCCAAGCUUGUCUAGGGAGAAAAGUCUAGCUUUAUAACUUCUCAUUCUGCAACCCAAACACCCUUAUCCCAGGCGCAUGGCUGUCCUAGGCCUGCCAGGGAUAUUGAGGGUGACAUUGUGCCAGGAACUAUGCCAAGUGCUUCCUAAGCACUCUCAUUCCACCAUCACAACACCUCUGAGACUGGUAUUAGUUCUUUCUCACUUUAUGGAUGAGAACACUCAGUCUCGGAGAAGUCAAGUCACACAUCCCAGGGCAGAGCCCAGCCCCCUCUGCCGCUUAAAUCUGUGCUCUUAGCCACCAUUCUACCAUGGAAAUAUCCCACCCGAGCUUCUGAGGAGCCAGAUGCUAAGCCUGAAUAGAGGAAGUGAGAGUAGCUUAAGCAAACUGAACCCAAGAAAAAAAAUGCCCCUAUUCGCUGGGCACACCUAUAAUCCCAGAGACUCAGGAGUCUGAAGCAGGGGUAUGGCAAGUUGGAAACCAG